CUGAAGACUAUUCGCGCAUGGGACGGCAAACUCCUGAAUGCAAGCUCCACGCCGCGUGGAGAUGAUGAAGGCCUUCUUGGCUUGUAAAGCCCUUUUUGGCCGGGAACGAAUAAA
rnacentral:rRNA from 1 species